GACGAACCACACAAACGUUAUUCGGAAUUACUGGGCUUAAAGGGUGCGUAGGCGGCGCAGCAAGUAGGGUGUGAAAUCCCUCGGCUCAACCGAGGAACUGCGCCCUAAACUACUGUGCUCGAGGGAGGUAGAGGUGAGCGGAACUUAGGGUGGAGCGGUGAAAUGCGUUGAUAUCCUAAGGAACACCGGUGGCGAAAGCGGCUCACUGGACCUCUUCUGACGCUGAGGAGCGAAAGCCAGGGGAGCAAACGGG
rnacentral:rRNA from 1 species